GAAUCUGCCAAAACAAACUCUUUGCAUCCAGAACUGAGAACACCGUUGUCUCACCCGAGUGUGCAGCUACUUCUUCUACCGUGCUCAUAGGGUGAUGUGGUCGAUUGAUAGCGGUGUUCAGAUCCUUCAGGUUGAUACAUAUCCGCAUCUCUUCUUUGUUCUUCGUAGUGGCCGCCACCAUGGUUGAUACCCAGUCCGAUGUAACAGGGGAGAUGACCCCGAGAGCUUCCUUCCUCUCGAGUUAUUUCUGUAUACGGUUGCGGGUGGCUACCGGAAUGCGCUGCGCAGGUCGCACAACAGGGAGGACAUUUGAAUCUGUAACAAUAAUGUAUUCGAGAGGGAGCUUACGAAGCUCUUCUUUGAAAAGAUCGUAUUAGCAUGCAAGAAUGUAGCGCAGUCUUGGAUACGAGCAAACUGCACAGCUUUGCCUAAGAAGACCAAGGUAUCGAUGCCAAGCAGAGAGACAACCUUCCCCUAACGAUAAAGAAAUUCCGUUUAUAGGAGCAGCCAAUAAGAUGACCGUUGCUAUGACCAGCUUAGUGGACAAUGUCGGGCAUCGUGCCCUGCCGGAGAGUACAACGUCGGCGAAUGCGCCAGUGGAAGAGAAUGCUGCGCUGCAAAGGAACAUAUCAGACAUGGCUGACCUUGCCAUUGUAUGGCUGACCUGGCCAGGGAAAAUUCCUCGUAUGUUGUAAAAGUUACUUGGCGAAUAAAAUCUGAUUCUGAUUCUGAUUCUGACAUAAACUAUUUUCCCCCAAA